UAAUAUAUUAAGGAUUUUCCGUAUUUAAAAAACCGAUAACCAAAAUUAAUAUAGCGGGUAAAGGAACGCAAUGUUGGAUAUUUCCAAUAAAUUUGCCGUUUAUUUGUAAUAUAAUUGUUCCGCCCCGUUGUACCAACGCCCUAAAAAUAAUUUCCACGGUGGCAUUUACGGCGUUUGCAAAAUGUAGUUGCAGCCAAAUAUUUUUCACUAAACGGGUAUAUUUUGUGUUUUUUUCUCGUUUUAAUUUUUUAAUAUGCUCGAUAAUAAUGCAAUUUAAUGUUGGUAACGCGGUGAAAAUAUCUUUAAAGCCCUCCACCGUAGGCCGUAAUAUGCCAACACUAUUGUACGUGCAAUAUACGUUUUCGACGGCAGGAUCGUCCCAGCGGAGUGCGCCUUUGCGUUUUCCGCCAGACAAAAGUGGAUGCGUUGCCCAUUGGUUACGUUGGUAUUUCGGCCAAACUGCGUAAUAUAUUUUCAGCGUUUUUACAUUAUUGGCGAUUGCAGUGUUGGUUAAAAAAACCUGUAAAUUUUUUACGCAAUUAAUUGUGGUAAGAACCUUUAUAAUAUAGGCAAAUAUAGGGAAGGUAAUAUUUGCUAGCUAUAAGGACGUUAAACGCAAGUUCCGUAGGGUACCCAAUAAUAAAAAAGUGGCAAUUUUAAUAACGAAUUCCGGGGGAAGUCGAUCCAUAUCGUUAACGAUUUGCAAUUGAAAUCGGUGCAAAUCCGGACAACCCAAAUUGGAUAAAUGUUGGCGGAUUUAUUAAUAUUUCCAAAUUUGGCAAUCUUUUGGUUGCCAGGAUCCAGAUUUAAAAUCCCUUUGGCAAUUCGGCCUGUCCCCAGGGCCUGGGCAAUAAAAAUAAACGACCUAAUUAUAAUAAUAUUACCUUAAGCGGGGAAAUUACCAUCGGUAUACUGAAAAAGCGGAGAUAAACCCGACAAUUUGGUAUUAUAUUAUAUAUUAUAGCGUAUUGGAACUAGCCCACCUAAAUUUUCCCCUGCAAUAUAAUUGGUUAAACUUUUAUUUUGCUCCAUAUAUUAUAUAUAGCCAACGUUGUUUUCGGCCCUCCAAAUAAUGCGUAGCCAAUUAAAUGGAUAAAUUUACUUUUAUUAUCAAGUUUUCUGGAGCAAAGACUGCCAUUUAGGUUAUAGUGUUUGCUAUUCCGGUUUUUUGCCCGCCAUUCCGCCGGAGCGGUAAAUAUAUGCACAACUUAAACCCGGUUUCAAUUUACCUCGCUGCUGCGAAUGGAAUUUGACCAUCCCGUACAAAAGUUUUCGCUAUGUCCCAAUGGUUUCGUCAUUUAAAUGCUAAAUAAAUGGAAUGGAAAGUAUUACAGCCCCGUUUAUUUAUCCAUUGGCGAUAAAAUUUAGCAAUCUUACGCAUUUAAACGUUUGCAUUUGGAAAUUUUAAUAAUUGAUUUUACCAUAUAUUUAAAAUUUUAAAAUAUAAAAUAUAAAAUGCAUUCCCGAUAUUUCUUACUAUUUGUAAAAAGUUAUAAAUAUAACCUCGCUUCCCAUACAAAUUGGAUUAUUGCAAUAUUUGAGACAGUAGAAAUAAAAGACACAUAUUAAAUAUAGUUCUUCCCUCCUUUUGCCUUAAUAUCUGCUAUAUUAUGGUAAAUUUAUAUAAUAUUAACCGCGCUGUAGUUUAGGUUUCCAGAAUUAUACAAUUCGGUCCUGUCAAAUGCUGGUUUUGUAAAACCCUGUAUAAAUACAACUAUAUUUGCUAAUUUUGAAAUCGCUUCAUUUUGGCGGUUAAAUUCCUGGUUAGCCUGUCUGUUAUAUUGUUUGAAUAUAGAAAUAAUACGAUUUUUGUCGUUUUUAACUUGUUUUUGGGCAAGAAUCUGGCGCCUUAAUUUGCGAUUUUCCUUUUGAAAAAUAUUAAUCUGGUCCUCCGACCAAGUGAUCGGCCUAUGUUUUAAGUUAUUAUCCAGGUAGGUUUUGUUGGCCAGGGGUGGCGGGGCUCGUGGUAAUUCGUAUUUUGGCGAUAAAGGGGGUAGGGGAAAUGGUUUGUCUAUAGCUCGACUAUGCUGCGACUUAAUCUCCUCCAAAAACAAACUCAAACUGCUGCGCAUAUUAUUUUUCGGCCAUAUUUUGCUGUGGUUCCUAAACCAGUGGGACCAAAAUCUUAGCUUGAACAAUAUCGUUUGUAAAAACGCAGUAUAAUUACGUUUUUGGGUUUCCAACUCGAACGAGCACCCAAUAUUGUAGCUCCAUUUGGAAAUUUGGGGUUGGGCCAUAUUUGGUUUGGAAAAUAUUAACACCCUGAAGCAGUUAUUAAAUAUUUAAAGGAGCCGCCAGGACCCUGGAAAGGGGCUGGUACCGGUUUUCGGGGUAUUUUAGGUUUGUUAUAUAAAAUGGAUUACCGUAUAUAUUUUAAUAUUGGGAAAAAUGGAAACCGCCAAAGUAAAAAUAAAAAGGGCUUUAAUUACGUUGGCCUUUCUUUUUACCAGUGCAGUUUUCCUAUAUUAUAAUCUUUCCAAGGAAAUGCGAAAAAAUGGAAUAGCUACAAUUACAAUUAAAUUAUUAAUGCUAAACUCUCCCCAAUUUCCACUUUUUAACUCUGCUAUAGACGACGUAGGAUCAAAAAUCAAAAACCGCAUUUCCAACGCUAUUAGCCUUGCCACUAAAAUCCCGCCUAAUAUCGAAAGUAUUGUUUCACGGUUUGCAACCCGCGUAUCGGAACUCGCCAGUGAAACUACGGGCCUUUUAAAUGCUAUUACAAUCGGCGGACCAUUGAAAAUUACGUUGGGAACAGACCAAAUCUGCCAGUUAAAUAAUUAUAACCGUCCCUGCCGCAAUUUCCCAUCGAGUUUAUCGGAACUAUUUCCAAUGCCGUUCCCAAUAUUGCAGAAAAUAAACUUGUUUUGGGCCAUAUUAGGUGCCAUUCGUGCUUUUAUCGCAAUUUCUCUGGCUGGAAUCCUGAUUUUAAAUAUUAUCUUUAUCGUCCCAUUUCUUUUCGGUUUUAUUAUCCUGCGAACAAUGCCAAUAUUGCGAAUUUUGAUCGAAAUAAUAGUGUUUUUCCUUAUUGCGGUUCCUUUAGUAAUUGCUGCGAUGGCGGUAAUUGCUGUUCCUUUUUUAUUUGAAACUUUGGGUAUUUUAGAGGUUACAAAAGGAAAUCUUGGGUGGUGUUUGGGUAUUGCUUUGGUAAUUACUAUCCUGUCAAAUAUUUCGUUUAUUUUUUCCCGCACAAUAUAGAAUAUAUAUUCGAACCGUUUUUAACCUGCCAAACCAGACGUGCAUUUAAGUUUAUUAGGUAGGAAUUUAUAUAUUAAAUUAUAUAGCGUUAUAUAAGUGCAAAUUAUACGCGCGUUGCUAGAUUUGUCGGGCUCUAAUGCUAAUUACGCUAUACAAAUAUGUGACACUUUAAUUUAUUUAUUAAAACACCUGGAACUUCCUGAACCCGACGCCCCCGACCUGAAAGUAGUACCCAGCUUUUGCAAACGUUGUUAAAAUUGUUAUUAAAUUUCUAUUCCUUGUGCACCUAAAUUUAUAAUGGCUAAGUUUGUAUAAAUUUAAAAAAAUCUCAUGGUUGAGGUAACAGGACUCGACAAAGCCAAAAGUUAGGACGAAAAGCAUUUUCCAAAAUAAAAAAAUGAAAUGUUUAGCGGGCGAGUUUAUUUACCAAGAGACUGCUGUAAAAGAAGUAAGGAUUUAACCCCAAUUAUAAAACCUCGGUAUUCAGUUUAAUUUUCAAGUGCGUGGUUAAUACGCUUAUAUGUUAUAGCUGUCUGCUGCUUUUGCCAAAAGCCAUUGUACUUCCAGCAAGUGGCCGAACCUGUCGGUCGGGCUAAUUGGCAAAUAAAUCGACACCUUUAUUCUUUCUGGGUGUAAUUUGUGCAUAAUUCUUUUUGGCCGAAAGACUGUUGUCGCCGCAAGUCUCCUUAAGGAUAUGAAGGCGAGCCUCCAGGCUAUUUAUUUGUCGCCGGAAGGCGCUAUGUUCCACGUGUAAAUUCGUGAAUUUUUUCCAAAAACCACGAAUAGCCCGUGAUAAACUAGAAUUUUCUGUCCUAAUAUAAUUAAUGGAAUAAAUUAUAUGUUUUAAUUAGGAAGAAAUAUUUUCCCUAAAUAAUAAAUUAUCCUAAUUUCCUUGUUUUAUACGUUCCUUGAGGCGGGACACUGUUUUUUCCCACAAUUUGGUUUUGGCCUCGACAAUGGCAGCUUUAAUUUCAGCGCCGCCAAUACGAUCUUCAAGUCGAGAAGUUGUUAUUAUUUCCGACUAUAAGUUUUUGUUGGUUUUUUGGAAUUCCCGUACGACCUCCAAAAUUUUAAAUUCACAUCCAUCUCUUAAACGGCUUAAAUUUAAUGGAAAAAGGGGUCGCUGAUGCAAAUCUAGGGUGUUAAAUGGGGAAAUCCAAGCAGGUAAGAGGUCCUCAUCAGGAUUGCGUGAUGAUAUUAUGCACGCAGAAAAAGCCAAAAGCUAAGAAACCAACGUUUUAGUCCAAAACUGAAGGUUUUAAGAGAAAAGCAGCUGAGGUAGCAUAUCUUAACUUUUUAAACUAUUGGCAGUCUUUGGAGUCCUGGCGACCGGCUGAACCAGGAUCCAGUUUUUAGGAAAUAUUCUAAAACCAGAAUUAGGAGCAAUUAUAGGAAGAACUGGUUUGUACAAAAUAAAUAUUAAAAUUAAAAGGUUUUAUAGCGUGGCCUGCGAGAUAUAAAUAAAUAUUAAGACGCAAAUAAUAGUGUCGGCGGUGCUGUAACGCCAACAUUAAUAAAUAAUUAGCAAGUUUUAAUAAGGGUUUUGGCCUGUCGCCUUUGUACCUAGCGGCACAAUGCGCCUGUAAUAUAUUACCCGUGGGCGCUAUUGGCAGCCUUUCGUCUCUUUUAAGGGCUCGCGUAACUCUGGAAGAGCAAUAUAUUAAAUUCUUAACCCUUAUUGGUAUUAUGUCGCGAAAAAAAAUAAUUGCGAUUACAAAAUAUUAAAUAACGGAAUGUAAAUUAGUUAUUUUCUUUUAGAUUUGUGGCAGUUGCGACGGAAUUGCACCUAGUUAUUACGCUUACGGGAAAAUAAAUAACAUAUGGUAUCACUUGUUUUGCCUGUUUUUUCCAUGUUUUCCGUUAAAAUAUUUAACCACCAUUAUAUUAAACUGGCUCAGGCCGCUCCCCACAAUUUUAAUUAUUUCCUUAACUUUUUUUAAAAUACUAAAACUUUCCCCAGAUUGGAUUUCCAGUUUUUCAAAUAUAGCAAAAAUCUGUGUAUUGGUAUUAUUAAUCUUUGCAAAUUUAUCCGCCAAUUGCUGAUCUUUUUGUUUUGCUGCAUUUUCGGAUUUCUCGAGUCGGGAUAUUGUAAUAAUUCCAAGAUUUUUAUUUAUUUGUCAGUCCUAUUCUUUUAUAGGGGUUUAGGCUCGCUACAAACCUUUUUAAAUCCUCUUUUUCGCAAUUGUUAAACUCGGUAAUAAAAGCUCCGUAAUUGAAGUCCACGUUUAACCCUGGAAGGACGCCGGAAUGGUUCCUUAAAUUUUAUAUCCCUUCCACGUUGUCGAAAAAGUUGGAAUUAAGGCAGGCGUUUGCAUGCCAAUUUGGGUCUAAUAUGAAGUUAUAACUGUCGUCCAUAGCGCCUGGUUGCAGGGCUUUAAUAAAUAUAAAAGACCGCAAGCCGGGAUUCGGGGUCCAGCGUCGUUACAAAAAGGCAAAAUACCACCGUUUCAUUUGAAAAAAAGUUUAAGAAAAACAAACGUUUGAAUUUAUUAUAUAUACCGAAUUUAAAAUGCUGCUUCCGAUUCUUUUAAUUGUUUUUGUUUUUUUGAGCAGCGUAUUCGGAGGCCCUUUUAACUUUUAUAUCUCAAACCCACCUUUGCAACUCGUUGCUGGCAAAUUUAUAAUAUAAACCAUAUAUAUGCACCAAAUUCCCUUGUUUUCGCCACUAAUUUAGCAAUGCUAACCACGUUUACAGAAAUCACACCCCGGCCAGGAAAAAUUGCCGCGCGGCAAUUUAUUUUGCAAACCCUGCCUUUCCACCAAUUACAUAUUUUUACGGCUUAGGAUCCUGUCAUUUUGGGUCGGAAAACGCCAGUUUCCAAAUGCCCAUUGGGGUGCCGAAUGGUGAUAUAUAUGUGACCUGGUCAGACCCUUUCCUCCCUUGCCUGCUUUCUAGUUUGCGUUGCAUUAAUAAUGGAGCCGUGUAGGACGUGCGGGGUGGCUGCACAUAUUUAUGUGCGCGCCAUUGUUUCGGAGGGACGUGGUAGCCCCCGAACUCCCCUAUUUUUAAAUGGAACCGUUUUUUGUCAAAAUUGGCCACGGAAUGCCAACACGGCAUUGCUAAUUUCUCUUUUUAUGGAAGGUGGUUCGACCACAAAUAUAAAUACAAGCACGACGUCACAUAUAAAUAUAACGUCUAGUAUAAGCACAACCGUAACCACGACCACAGAUACGUUAUCAGAUGGCACAUUGUUUUCCUCAAUGUUUUUGAACGAGGGUUAAUUCAUAUUACCCUCCACCCUGGCCAGUUUUGUAAGCCGCAGUGCUAAUGGUAAUGGUUUUGUUCAGGUUAGCACCGCUUCUCGUCUUGCAGCCCCUAAUGUCGCGCGAGGUUUAGUUACAGUAACGAGGACCUUUACAACGUUAUUUACAACUAUUACAUUAUCUGAAUCGCUUUAAUUACGGAUGGGUGUUUCUUUAGCUCUUUUUGGCUAUUUAUUUAAUUUCGAAGAGAUUGUGCGACAUUUGCUUAUAUUUGACAAUGAAAAAGGAUUUUCAUAUAAUUUACGUAUAUAGUCCGAAAACAACCUGCAUAUAGAUAAUAUAUUUUUUCGUACCUGUUGGACCUGCAAAAUUUAGCACCAAUGUAAUCCUUUUUUUAUAAUGUGUGGAGCACCAAAAAAGUUUGACCAAUUAUAUUGCAAAGAAAAAUUUACCAGUUCCAACCUUUUAUGCAAAUAUUUUAUUGUAAUACCAAACUGUCGGGUUUAUUUCCGCUUUUUCAACGCACCGAUGGAAAGCCAUUACCUCUGUUACCCAGACCACCUCGUAGGCCGAAUUGGCAGAAGGAUCUGGAUCCUGGAUCCUGGAUUCCGGACAACUUGCCCCGAAAUCCUCGCCAAGAACCUCCAAAAAAGCCUGCGCGCGAGCUGGUCAUGGAUUGACAAAUAUUAAUAUAGUAAACGAGUCCUAGUUUGAUACGGAAUCAAAUUACGCAAUCCAUGUCCACCUACCGCGAAAAUCUGCCCAUAUUAACAUUCCAUCCUUUCCAGUUUCCCUAUUAUCGUCCCGAUAUCGGUUUAUAUUACCCAAAUAGAAGCUUUCAGCAAUAUACGCUAACCCAUCUUCGAAUACCUUAUAAACGUAUUAAAGGAUUAAGAAUAAUAUUAAACAAACCUCCUUAUAUAUAAUAUUUUAAUCUUUUAUCCCAUAUUCCAAUAAAAUUUUGUUCAAAUUGCGGGCUAAUAAUGGCAUUAAAAGCUUUGAUAUUUUUAUCAUUAUCCCAAUCUGGAGGCGACCAGAGGUUUGCUUUUGACAUGUGCCUUUCGAUGCGCUGGUCCCGAAUUGGGUAUCCAGUGUUAAACGUGGUAGGCGCAGUAAAAUGGGUUAAAUUAAUCUUUAAUCUUAUUUUUUGGCUUCGCAAGGGACGGUUUAAAUAGCACCAGAAGAUUAAGUCGUUCGGAGUUAACAAACGUAGGUUGGCAGCGUUGUGGUUUGAGGCGUGUGUAACAUUAUUAGGUUUUCCGUAUCCGGCAGUUGUUAAUAGGCCUGUAAAGGACAAGGCUAAUUUAUUACCAUCGCCAGGAAACUGAAGCCUUUUUUUGUAAUAUAUUAUCUUGUUGGCACUGGGCCCUUCCCCCGAUUUAAUACGUCCCUGGACGAUAUUUAGCACCCCAAUGCGCUUAUUUUAAACGAUGAAAGUCCGUUAAAUAUUGGCAGGGCCUUCAGAAUAAAACUCCUGCCACUCCUUUAUAUUUUUAAAUUGAUUAAUGCGAAAUCGGACGCAAAUAUAGGAGUUAUAAAAAGAGUUUUUCUAAUUUCCCAGGGCGUAAAAGUAGCCGUUAAUAAUUUCGAAGCAGAUGUUGGCGCCAAUAUCGGAGCUAAUUCUGUCAGGAAGAUGUGUCAAAUCGUUUUGCCAAGUACCAUUCAGGAGAUUACAGCUUUGAAAUACCUAGCCCUGAAGUACCCAGCGCUAACUUCCAUCCCUUGCGAUGGUAUUAUAAGUACCAUAAUAAAGGUAUUUAUCGUUAUUUCGUACGAAGAUUUUCCGCGAGGAUGCAAAUGUAUGAUUGAAUAAGCGGCCGUGGGAAAGGUUAAUAACUAGAAGCCGGGGGAAUAAUCGAUUUCCGGGGUUGAGAUAAUAAGAAACGAAGCCAUCCGCGUAAUUUAAGAUACGCAGUUUAAAAUAUUUAUCCUUGAUGGUCCCAGAAAGGUGGUCUUUUAUUUCCAGAAGUUUUCCGAUGCUAAUAAUGUCUUUAAAUGCCGAGUUGUGCAAAUCACGUAUUUUUAAUAACCCGUUGUUAAGGUAGUAAAGAACUCCAUUUAAAUAAAAGAAGGAUUUUGCUUCGGUAACGACCGCGGCCAAGUACGAAGAUGCAGACAAAAUCGCGGUUCGACGCUUUACAAUUAGCCGUAAUGUUUUAGCAUAAUUUUUGCUUUUAUAAGCCGCCUUGGUCUCUGGUGCAAACGGGGCGGUCGACUUCCGUGUAAAUAUUGUUAAUGUCAGACUCCGGAACGACCCGAAUUCCUCGACUCCCUUGGUAAAAAAAGUAUAUUAAAUAUUAACGAAAUGUGUGUUUGGAAUAUUUGUGCUGGUUUAAAAUUGCAAUUUACUUUUAAAACCAUUGCGCAUAUAUGGUUGUCCCAAAUGAGCCGUUGCAGGGUUCGAUACGAUAGAGAAAAGUUAAAUAAGUCCUGCGCGUCAAAUUCCUGAGCAAUUUAAGAUACGAGCUCCUAUAUUAAAUCGUAAAUGGGUAUCGUGGAAGAACUGUGAAAGGCGCCAAAGCGAUAAGAUGCAAAAUCCAAGUUAGUGGGUUUUUAGCUUUGGAAAUUAGGGCGUUUUUGUCUCGUACCCACGUUAAACGGUUAAUAAUUUUAAAAUAUAUAUUGGGGAGACGAUGUUAUAUUCAAAUGUUAGCCUUGCGUCAGAUACCCUUUUUGUUAGUUUUGCGAAUCGUUAGCUAAUAUAACCCUACGUAAUCACAUUUUGGUCUGUUGGGUUAAUUUAAUAUGCAAUAUAUUUUUUGUAAUACCAGAUUAGAAUUGUCUAAGCGUCUUUCUGCAUAUAAGGGACCCGUUACCCAAAAUAGAAAUUAUAAAGCAAAUUAUCAACCACCUAAAUAUAGAAAGUUUUGAAUAAACUGGCCUUGAUGCUCGCAUAUUAUUUGUAAACCGGGUAUUAUUACGCGGAAAACAAACCUCAGUUGAAAAGUUGCUAUAUUUAGUUUUGGGUGCGGUAAGCACCCGCAAUAUCGCGUAUCCCACGGCCAUAUUUUUCUCAUAUUAUAAUGUGAAUUCUUUUACUAUUUUAGAAGUUUUGAAUAAUUUUAUGCGAAAGAUGCGUUACGCGCGAUAUUUUUAGCAUUACAAACCUACACAUCGCGAUAUUUCCAAAU
rnacentral:sRNA from 1 species